UACGGGGGGGGCAAGCGUUGUUCGGAAUUACUGGGCGUAAAGGGCUCGUAGGUGGUCAACUAAGUCGGACGUGAAAUCCCUCGGCUUAACCGGGGAACUGCGUCCGAUACUGGAUGACUUGAGUUCGGGAGAGGGAUGCGGAAUUCCAGGUGUAGCGGUGAAAUGCGUAGAUAUCUGGAGGAACACCGGUGGCGAAGGCGGCAUCCUGGACCGACACUGACGCUGAGGAGCGAAAGCGUGGGGAGCGAACAGG
rnacentral:rRNA from 1 species